rnacentral:rRNA from 1 species
AUGUCUAGCCACCAAACGUCCUCAGAUCAAGUUCUCAGCAUGGUGGUGGAGCAAGCAAUUUACCCAAUCACCGUUGAUGUGAUGUAUUCCCUCUUCGGUCCCUUCGGUAUUGAGGAGUUGGUGGUGUAUCCCCCAACAAUAUCAGAGGAUGGACAGCCAUGUGUGGCGGCGGAUGUGCGGUUUUGUUCAGCACACGCGGCGGCAUACUGGGACGGCCGCUGCAUCUACUUCCGGUGCUGUCGUCUGCAGAUGAGGAACGCAACGCCUGACGUGUUGCCGUCCCGAACCUCACCACCAACGAGCACAGCAACGCCAGAUGCCUUCAUGGCGGGUGAUAUUGCUACAUCGGCACACUCCACCAUCUUGGACGCCUCCGUCAACAUCCCUACCGCGGCCAGCACCAGCACGCCGCCUCACUUCCAGGAUACAUCCCCCAAGUCUUCCCUCGACAGCAACGGCCGCGUCCUCGUCACGGGCACGACCGAGUACACAUUGGUGGCGGCAAAUCCAGAAGUCGUCACCGAGCUCGCCGUCCUCCCCGGCGACCCCUUCUCCACCACCAAGGCCCAGGAGAUCCCCAAGUUUGCCCAUGAUGCAACCCCGCUCUGCAUCUCGAUGGUGCCCGUCACCUGUUCGACGGAGUGCUCGACCCAGGUCGAUGCCAUCGACAGCGUCGACGAAGCCCAUGACGGCGCCACCGUCGCAGCGGAGGUUCACAACACCACCACCGCACUCGGUCCCGAGCUCGCGAUCGACCUCUGCAACACCACAGCGGCCAUCGGUGUAGCCACCUGUGGUCACCACGACAAGUUCGACGGCCUCAACAUCCCCGUGAAGGCCAUCAUCAGCCUGCCGCCCCACAUCCAGGUUACAUUCCCGAUUUUUUCCACAAUCAGCAACCGUCGUGUCGUUGUUGCUGGGACGGACGAGUACGCACUCGUGGAAGCCAUUCCAGACAUCGCCAUCGAGCUUGCUGUCCAGCCGCCGACAAGGCACGAAGGGCUGCCGAUACGGCCGACACCAUGGCCAUCAUAUCUGGUGCAUCAUAGUGCAGAGGAGAAUGAGGUUCGACCAACUCCGUGGCCGUCGUUUUCUUGCUCUCAUGAAGGCAUGACUCUGAACCAUAAAAGCCUGCUGCCACAAGUUACUUGUGUGAUGAAGAUCCCAAUCGGUAUGCCAUCAGAGGACGCUGCAGAUUCAAAUUUCUAUGUGCAAUUGUUCAGGCAUGUGAAGCAAAUGGGUGUGCUGAGCACAGAACUCUCCCACAAUCUUGGUCUGCGGUUAAGGCUAUUUGAGCCAUUACUGUCCUCUGAUCCGGCUACCAUUACAGUGCAUUGUUUGAUCUCCAUGUUGCCAAGAGAUACAACUGUCCUGAGUCAUCCGAUAAUGCAAGUUAUGGGUGAUCUAAACCUGGGUGUUGUGGAAUGGCGACUGGUUAUCUGUUCUAUGGCGGCACAUUUAUUUCAGAACAUGCAAAUUGGGCCGUAUGAACUAGGUUGUGCUGCUAUUGUUUCCCCUAAUUGCUCUAAACAUUCCCAAUGGAAAGUUGCAUGGCCACUCAGUUCCAAAAGGAAAACAUCUGCUGGCAGGCCCUGUUUUAUGCCAUGGCCAUCAUUUGCUUGCUCUCCUGACGGAGUUACCCUGAAGCACACAUGGAUGGUACCACAAGUCAUUUAUGCGAUGAAGAGUUUAUCUGGUAAUCUGAAUUCUCUUAGAGCUUUCUCAAGUUAUUUUCCAAAUCUGCAACUGAAGUCCAGAUUCAGUCAAACAAAUGUCCACCUGAAGCUUCCAUGGCCAUCUGAUUCUUGCAAUUGCCGAGCAGUGCAAGUGUGUUCCGAACUGCCUAAGGUGGAAUAUUUUGAACACCAGUUUAUGGGUGUUUGCGAGCAUCACGUAGCGGUUUGGGACUAUGCUGUUCUGGGUUGCAUUCCUAUUUCUGACAAAUUGCAGGGGAUAAUUCAUCUUAUGCAUAUGUCAGUGCGCUGGAUUUUUUUGAGUCAAGAAGAAUUUAAAGGCAGUGGUCGUGUUUCAAUCGACUUUCACACUAACAAUGCAUGGGAACGGUGCUCCAUUUUCCUUGGGAAUUGCAUAAGGAUACUUCCAGUGCAGCUCUAA